GUGACGUCAGGGAGGGACAGGCUGUCCAAUGCGAGGUUGACUGUGAGAAGAGGUGCCAUACAGAAACCCACACAAGAGUGACUACCCCACCAGGAACCUAUCAAGCACUUAGGAAUGAGAAAAAUGGCAAGCCCUUGAGGUUUUUGUUCUCUUCCCUGUCCAGGGUCCACUGUCUUAGCAUGCAAGCCUUCAAGCCUGAACAAGGAAACUAUUCAUCCAUGGAGCCAACCAGGAGGAAGCCACUUCCUGUUCUCUCCCUGUCCUGGCCUGGCCAGGCCAGGACAUGGCUUUCCAUCCCAGGCUGGGAGGAUGGAAUUGAUAAAGGCCCAUUGUGACAGUCUCACAAACCCAGAGGCCAUCAAGGGGCUAAGAAGCCACUUAACAGCUUUUGAACAUUUGUAAAAAGAAUUAUCCUGCAGAAGAGAAUGCAGAGAGGGGCCCAAGGUCGCCACCGGGAUGCACCUCUGCCACCCAUGAUAGGGAGGCUGACAGUAAAGCCAGCAGGGGCCCAGCCUGCUUGCAACACCAUGGGCUGACCUGAGGCAGGAGGGACUCAGACACCACCAACAGGCAGCUUUACAAUUCAGGACUCCUGGACACCUGGAGUUGAAACCCAAUCUCCUGCCAAAUGCAGGAAACACAAG
rnacentral:lncRNA from 1 species